rnacentral:rRNA from 1 species
GCUAAGUCCGGGGCAGCGGGUGUGGUAAUGAGGUGGGUGCAAGCGUUAUCCGGAUUCACUGGGUUUAAAGGGAGCGUAGGUGGCUUUGGAAGUCAGUGGUGAAAUGUCGCGGCUCAACCGCGAAACUGCCAUUGAUACUGCUUAGCUUGAAUCACGUCGAGGUGGAUGGAAUAUUACAUGUAGCGGUGAAAUGCUUAGAUAUGUAAUAGAACACCGAUUGCGAAGGCAGUUCACUAGGCGUGUAUUGACACUGAGGCUCGAAAGCGUGGGGAUCAAACAGGAUUAGAUACCCGAGUAGUC